rnacentral:rRNA from 1 species
UAGGGAAUCUUCCACAAUGGACGAAAGUCUGAUGGAGCAACGCCGCGUGAGUGAAGAAGGUUUUCGGAUCGUAAAGCUCUGUUGUUGGUGAAGAAGGAUAGAGGCAGUAACUGGUCUUUAUUUGACGGUAAUCAACCAGAAAGUCACGGCUAACUACGUGCCAGCAGCCGCGGUAAUACGUAGGUGGCAAGCGUUGUCCGGAUUUAUUGGGCGUAAAGCGAGCGCAGGCGGAAUGAUAAGUCUGAUGUGAAAGCCCACGGCUCAACCGUGGAACUGCAUCGGAAACUGUCAUUCUUGAGUGCAGAAGAGGAGAGUGGAACUCCAUGUGUAGCGGUGGAAUGCGUAGAUAUAUGGAAGAACACCAGUGGCGAAGGCGGCUCUCUGGUCUGCAACUGACGCUGAGGCUCGAAAGCAUGGAUAGCGAACAGGAUUAGAUACCCUGGUAGUCCAUGCCGUAAACGAUGAGCGCUAGGUGUUGGGGACUUUCCGGUCCUCAGUGCCGCAGCAAACGCAUUAAGCGCUCCGCCUGGGGAGUACGACCGCAAGGUUGAAACG